rnacentral:rRNA from 1 species
UACGUAGGGUGCGAGCGUUGUCCGGAAUUAUUGGGCGUAAAGAGCUCGUAGGCGGUUUGUCGCGUCGGCCGUGAAAACUUGGGGCUUAACCCCAAGCUUGCGGUCGAUACGGGCAGACUUGAGUUCGGCAGGGGAGACUGGAAUUCCUGGUGUAGCGGUGAAAUGCGCAGAUAUCAGGAGGAACACCGGUGGCGAAGGCGGUUCUCUGGGCAUGACCUGACGCUGAGGAGCGAAAGUGUGGGGAGCGAACAGG